AAGCUCCAUACAUCACUUUCAGAAGUGUAUCUCCCUGAAGAAGGAGAGAAAGUGGAUAAUAUAAAUUAAAAGAAUAUUUCUGAGAUGUACUGUAUGCUACCCUGAACCAAUGCUGAACUGAGGUCUCCUUCUCCAUUCUCCUGUCCAGCAAACUUUGAAAGAAAAUACAUUUAAAAGGCACAGUGGAUGAAAUAAGCUCCAAAAGUGAAGAACAGCAACAAUGUGGAGGUCCAGGAAUCUCUUCAUCACUAGAAUUAUGCUGAUCCUGUUUCCAUAAUCUGAAGAGGAGAAUGAUGCAACACGCCUGAGAACCUGAAUUAGACUGGCUCUUUUAGAAGGAGGGUUCCUGCUGGAGUCAGAAGACAGAAUCCUUCUACCGAUGGGACAACAACAGGAGAUUUAAAAAUUUGAAUAGCGCUUCUAUUCUCAACCCUGUUAUGUUGAUAAAGAGAAACCUUCAACACAGGCACGCUUCAUUCUUUGUGAGGAUGAGAUUUAGACAGUGAAGAACUAGAAAUGCCUGUAACAGUGGUGACCCAGGCUCCGGAGUUAUUCUGAUAUCCAUGGAAAAUAUAAAUGAAUCAUUUGAUGCUGUGGAAUCCCCUUCAGAAGACAUAGAGAGUGGAGGUAGCUUGUCUCAUAUAGCUGCUUUGAAGGCUCCAAAGAAACUGAAACUGCUGGAAACAAGUGAGAUGCUCUCAUCAAAGAUGGUGCUGGGGCAGAUCACAACUGAUACACCAGUACCAAGAGGGAUAGUGCCGGAAAGUCCUGAACAACAGUCUUAAGACCUUGAUCCACACACCCUCUGCUGCCAGUGUCCUCUGUCAAUGUGAGCUCCAGCACUGGCUUCUCUGGUACCCACUUCAUCAAGUCCUUUAAAGGAGACUUUCUCCCAUCAAGCAAUGGAAAUAGAGCAUGGUGCCAAAUAAUGGAUUUAGAGUCUCUCACUUUUCGGACAGGAGGGAUAUCUGACUGCUCUGAAAGCACAGGCAAAGCCUCUUUAGAGCCUCCUUAUCUCUUGAGAUCAAAGUCACAUCCCUGGUGACUGGAGCAUUGAAGAACUUUCCUGAGCAUUUUUCUUCUCAGACUCCAAGAGUGUUCUCAUGUCUUUUCCAAGAGAAAGAGCUUUAACCUGGACUUUUUCUCUUUCUAUGUGCGCUUCUUAAAAGAGUUACAGAUUGUACACUGAGCAACAAUAUGCUCUUCACCCAGGCAAUAAAGAUACUAAUUACGCAUAAAGUGUAAUUGUAAGCCUGUCAGUCCCAGGAUAUUAAAGAGAGGAGGUAAUAUCUUUUAUUGGACCAAAUUCUGUUGGAGAGAGAGACAAACUUUCCAGCUACACAGAGCUCUUCUAUUCCUGGUCUUAUUGAUCGAUAACAAGACAGAAAAUAUCCUAUUGCCCCUAUAUAAAUCCAUGGUAUGCUCACAUUUUGAAUAUUGUGUCCGGAUGUGGCCGCCCCAUCUCAAAAAAGAUAUAGUGGAAUUGGAAAAGGUUCAGAAAAGGGCAACAAAAAUGAUUAGGGGUAUGAAAGAGCUUCAUAUGAGGAGAGAUCAAUAAGACCGGGACUUUUCAGCCUGGAAAAGAGACGACUCGGGGGGAUAGGAUAGAGAUUUAUAAUUGGUAUGGAGAAAGUAAGUAAGUGUUAUUUAUUCCUUCUGAUAACACAAGAACUAGGGAUCACCAAAUGAAAUUAAUAGGCAGUAGCUUUAAAACAAACAAAAGGAAAUAUUUCUUCACCCAACGCACAGUCAACCUGUGGAACUCUGCCAGAGGAUGUUGUGAAGGCCAACACUAUAACAGGGUUCAAAAAGGAACUCCAUAAAUUCAUGGAGGAUAGAUCCAUCAAUGGCUAUUAGAUAGGAUGAGGAGGGAUGGUGUCCCUAGCCUGUUUGCCAGAAGCUAGGAAUGGAUGACAGGGGAUGGAUCACUUGAUGAUUACCUGUUCUGUUCAUUCCCUCUGAAGCACCUGGCAUUGACCACUGUUGGAAGACAGGAUACUAGACUAGAUGGACCUUUGUCUGACACAGUAUGGCCGUUCUUACAAAAGCAUGUUUCUCACCAACAGAAGAUAGAAGAUAUUAUCUCACCCAUCUUGUCUCACUAAUUAUGUAUGUCCAUUAGAGGAACAGCCUGUUCCCCCACCCUCCACAACAGGGUUAUAAUUUGAAGUCUGGGGAUCUCAAUUCUGCCAUAUCCUAACUAAAAUCUCAAUAUACAAACUACAAACAGAAAAAUAAAGUUAAACUGAAACUCUCUUCAUACAUGUGUGUUUUACUGGAGGUAACAGUAACUAACAAGAAACUACAAAAGAGACUGUCAUAAAUAUAAAGGGAAGGGUAAACACCUUUAAAAUCCCUCCUGGCCAGAGGAAAAACCCUUUCACCUGUAAAGGGUUAAAAAGAUAGGAUAACCGUGCUGGCACCUGACCAAAAUGACCAAUGAGGAGACAAGAUACUUUCAAAGCUGGAGGCGGGGAGAAACAAAGGUUCUCUCUGUCUCUGUGUGAGGCUUUUGCCAGGAACAGAAAAGAGUCUUAGAACUUAGUAAGUAAUCUAGCUAGAUAUGAGUUAGAUUCUGUUUUGUUUAAUUUGCAAAUUAGAUACAAUUAACUUAGGCUUGAAUAGAGACUGGGAGUGGUUGAGUCAUUAUAAAAAGUAACCUAUUUCCCCUUGUUUAUUCCUUCCACCACCCCCGCCCCCCACUGUUCCUCAGACGUUCUUGUUAAACCCUGGAUUUGUGCUGGAAAUGGCCCAUCUUGAUUAUCUUACACAUUGUAAGGAGAGGGAUCACUUUAGAUAAGCUAUUACCAGCAGGAGAGUGGGGUGGGGAGAGAGAAAACCUUUUGUAGUGAUAAACACCCAUUUUUUCCAUGGUCUGUGUGUAUAAAAAUAUCCUCACUGCAUUUUCCACUUUAUGCAUCCGAUGAAGUGAGCUGUAGCUCACGAAAGCUUAUGCUCAAAUAAAUUGUUUAGUCUCUAAGGUGC